rnacentral:rRNA from 1 species
UGAAUACGAGACGCUACGGCGUCGAAGCAGUCGAUGUCAUACUUCCAAGAAAAGCUUGCAAUGUCAUAAACAAAUAAUGCCUGUACCAUAACCGACACAGGUGGGUAGGUAGAGUAUACUAAGGGGCGCGAGAUAACUCUCUCUAAGGAACUCGGCAAAAUGACUCCGUAACUUCGGGAGAAGGAGUGCCUUAUUUAUAAGGUUGCAAUAACAAGAUCCAAGCAACUGUUUAUCAAAAACACAGGUCUCCGCUAAGUCGUAAGACGAUGUAUGGGGGCUGACGCCUGCCCAGUGCCAGAAGGUUAAAGAAGUUGGUUAGCAUCCGCGAAGCUGAUAACUGAAGCCCUGGUGAACGGCGGCCGUAACUAUAACGGUCCUAAGGUAGCGAAAUUCCUUGUCGGGUAAGUUCCGACCCGCACGAAAGGCGUAAUGAUUUGGAUACUGUCUCGGAGAGGGACUCGGUGAAAUAGACUUGUCUGCGAAGAUGCGGACUACCUGCACCUGGACAGAAAGACCCUAUGAAGCUUUACUGUAACUUGAAAUUGAAAUUGGACUUUAAUUGCGCAGUAUAGGUGGGAGGCGUUGAGAAUAUUCUUGCGGGAAUAUUGGAGCCAUCAGUGAGAUACCACUCUUGUAAUGUUAGAUUUCUAACUUUGCAUCAUUAUCUGGUCAAAGAACAGUUUCAGGCGGGCAGUUUGACUGGGGCGGUCGCCUCCCAAACGGUAACGGAGGCGUACAAAGGUUUCCUCUGAACGGGUAGAAAUCGUAUCUAGAGUGUAAAGGCAUAAGGAAGCUUGACUGUGAGACCUACAAGUCGAGCAGGGACGAAAGUCGGUCUUAGUGAUCUGACGGUGCUGAGUGGAAAGGCCGUCACUCAACGGAUAAAAGUUACUCUAGGAUAACAGGCUGAUCUCCCCCAAGAGUUCACAUCGACGGGGAGGUUUGGCACCUCGAUGUCGGCUCAUCGCAUCCUGGGGCGGUAGUACGUCCCAAGGGUUGGGCUGUUCGCCCAUGAAAGCGGUACGCGAGCUGGGUUCAGAACGUCGUGAGACAGUUCGGUCCAUAUCCGGUGUAGGCGUUAGAAUAUUGAGAGGAGCCUUCUUUAGUACGAGAGGACCGAGAAGGACAUACCUCUGGUGUACCAGUUAUCGUGCCAACGGUAAACGCUGGGUAGCUAUGUAUGGAGAGGAUAACCGCUGAAAGCAUCUAAGUGGGAAGCCCACCUCAAGAUAAGUAUUCC